CUGUAUAAAACAUGGCUUUAAAGUUUCAUAUGGAGCUAAAUAUCUUCUUCUAAAUAAUUAUUAAUUUAAACGGUCAGGAUUAGUCGAGUCGACAGUGACUUUGCAUGCUUGUAAAUUAUAUGUGCUCGCAUAAUAAUAAUACUAUCAAGAAGUUUAAUUUCGUCGGUACUUUUUUUGAUCGAAAUAUAAUAUGUGUACCUACUUGUGUUUUAACCAGAAAUCUCAAAAUGGUGCUACGGCCAUCUUUGUUUAAUUUGUGUUUUAUCAAAAUAACAACUUAUAUACGUUCUAUCACUGAAAACUGAAACCUAAACUAAGCGGAAAAAUCUACUAAUGUGUGUGCAGUGUGCACUAGUGAAAAAUAAUCAUAUAAUCAGAUCU